rnacentral:rRNA from 1 species
UAAUACGUAGGAUGCAAGCGUUAUCCGGAUUUACUGGGUGUAAAGGGAGCGCAGGCGGGACUGCAAGUUGGAUGUGAAAUACCGUGGCUUAACCACGGAACUGCAUCCAAAACUGUAGUUCUUGAGUGAAGUAGAGGCAAGCGGAAUUCCGAGUGUAGCGGUGAAAUGCGUAGAUAUUCGGAGGAACACCAGUGGCGAAGGCGGCUUGCUGGGCUUUAACUGACGCUGAGGCUCGAAAGUGUGGGGAGCAAACAGGAUUAGAUACCCUGGUAGUCCACACUGUAAACGAUGAUAGCUAGGUGUGGGGGGUCUGACCCCUUCCGUGCCGGAGUUAACGCAAUAAGCUAUCCACCUGGGGAGUACGACCGCAAGGUUG